AAAUUGAAGAGUUUGAUCAUGGCUCAGAUUGAACGCUGGCGGCAGGCCUAACACAUGCAAGUCGAACGGUAGCACAGAGAGCUUGCUCUCGGGUGACGAGUGGCGGACGGGUGAGUAAUGUCUGGGAAACUGCCCGAUGGAGGGGGAUAACUACUGGAAACGGUAGCUAAUACCGCAUAACGUCGCAAGACCAAAGAGGGGGACCUUCGGGCCUCUUGCCAUCGGAUGUGCCCAGAUGGGAUUAGCUAGUAGGUGGGGUAACGGCUCACCUAGGCGACGAUCCCUAGCUGGUCUGAGAGGAUGACCAGCCACACUGGAACUGAGACACGGUCCAGACUCCUACGGGAGGCAGCAGUGGGGAAUAUUGCACAAUGGGCGCAAGCCUGAUGCAGCCAUGCCGCGUGUAUGAAGAAGGCCUUCGGGUUGUAAAGUACUUUCAGCGAGGAGGAAGGCGUUGUGGUUAAUAACCGCA
rnacentral:rRNA from 1 species